CGCGCACCUGUGCGCCAGGUUCUGCUGGAGAGAGCGGAGCUGAGUGCGUUUGUUCCGCGUCUUUUACGAUUAUUUUCUGUUUUUCCUUUAUUUGAAUAUAGAUAAAAUUUAACUCAUGUAAUUAUGUAGUCUAAACCUCGCAGGAAAAAGUGAUAAAAAUCUAUCUUGCAACGAAUACUUGUUAGUUUUAAUGGUCUUUAAAUUCUGUAUUUGUUUGUCUUCGGGCAGGACAUGUUUGGCUCAGCUGCUGCAAUUAUCCAAGUAAGUAUAAACGUUUUACUCAUUUCUUUACACGUAUUUCUUUGAAAUGUUUUCUGCGCUAUGAAACACUGUUUGCUACUAAGCAACCUUGGUUUAAAAUAUCUUUAAAUAAUCGUCUAAAUACUUGUGUUCUUGUGUUUCCAGUUCGGUGUCUGCGGGCAGGACAUACUUGGCUCAGCUGGUGGAAUUAUCGAUGAAUUGCAACGAAGUUCCAGUCUUCAUUCCGGUCGCUGCCUCGACAGAAGCCUCGGUGAAACAGUAACGUGCUGUAUGUUUCUGUUUUAACAUGUAGUUGCUUGCAAAUGUUUUCUUACUCUGUUGACUUGUAACAGUAUUUGGCGUUAAUGUUUGUCGUGCUUUUACACUUUGUAAUUGAAAUCCGUGUUAAUUUUCACUUCGAAGCUUGUGCAUCCGACGUAUUGUAAUGCUUUGUUUUGUGUGCCAUAUUCGUUCAAUAAAUUGUUGAUUGAAACUUGAUUUUGUUCCUUCAUUUCUUGUGCAGAGUUCUGUUCCCCCCUUGGCCCUGAAAAACCCCGAUGGUGGUGAGUUUUUUGGCGGAGAGAUUUUGCUAAUAGUUUGUGGCCGCAAGGGGACACCCUAUCGCUUUUUGACUUGAAAAGGUCAAAGGCUACCCCCUUUUUAAGCGUGUCCAGAUUUUCCCGCCAAAAAACUUAGUAUCUGGGGUUU
rnacentral:lncRNA from 1 species